rnacentral:misc_RNA from 1 species
CAGGAUUAGUCAUUUCUUCUUACUUUCAAGGAUUUAAGGAAAAAGAACAGGAUAAAAAUAAUGAUAGGCUACAGUACCUGAAGUAUUUGAGGAGUGUUUCGGCAUUAUAGAAUCGCAGCUUUGCUAAGAGGCUCACUACUAUCAGCAAUUGUCCAGGCUACGUGAAUGUAGGACACUUUUAAGACAAUCUUCAAAUUCUUGAUACAUCCGAUGUCGACUUUCAAUGGAAGGCUUCAAAAUCCUCUGUUCAAUUUCAUUGCAAUUGAUGAAUUCACUUUGAGAAAUCACGAUGCUACAUUUUUCUUUGUAUCGCAUGCACACAGCGAUCAUCUACGAGGACUGGAAUGUCAUGGAGAAACGCUGUUUGGUCGAAAUAGUAAUAAGACCUUGUACUGCUCUAGCACAACAAAACGAUUGCUGCAGAUAAAAUAUUCUAAUAUUCCUGCUGAUAGUUUCAAGUCACUCGACAUCGGUGACGUAAAAAUACUUGAGUCCUCUCUGGAAAAUUAAUGCCGAAACUCACCUUCAGUUACAGUCACUGUGCUACCUGCUUCACAUAUUCUUGGGUCAGUUAUGUUUCUCUUCCAGUGUCAAAAUAUUACUGCCUUGUACACGGGCGACUUUAGGAUAUAUAAUACAACAGACAUAUCAAAAAUUAAGUGGCUGCAUGACGAGGUUGGAAGGCCUUUGAGAAUCACCGAUCUCUAUUUGGACACUACAUUUGCUGACAAGGAUUAUAUGUGGUUUCCGAGGCGAUGUUAUGCCCCCCUAAGAUAAUCGAAUUGAGUGAACAGCAUCUUAAUAUAUCAGUCAUAAAUUAUGUUGCUUUGACACUGCCAUCUUACUAUGGGUAUGAACACCUGAUAAUCGAGGUUAGUAGGGGGUUAAAUAGAAGAAUUCUUGUGAAUGAGGAUGAUUUCCCACAUUUCAAAAGCUUUCCCGAAAUGGAUGAAUGUAUAAUUUUCUAUAAUAAAUUUAGUCCUGAAGCCAAUAAACAACCCAUAAUAGAUAGCAAUAGAAUACAUGUGUGUAUAAAUAGACCGUUAAUUUGCUCAAAUGAGCUGCUUUUCUGUGAUAUUUGUUUUAAUAGUAAUAGUGGAAAACUAAGAGUGCUCAUGCCAUGUGCAAAAUCGUUUAAAUUAGACCUUGAUGACCAUGUCAAUAGUUUUAGAGCGGAUACAUUCUCCAAUUUCAGCAUAGCUCACUCACUGCAUUGCUCAUUGACUGAACUCCGGUGUUUUACAAACUAUCUGAGACCAAUCAAUAUAUAUCCUUUAGUGACUAAAGGACCUGAAGAAACCACACUUAUCCGAGCUCUGCUAUUGGACAAUCACAAGAAGAAUACUUCUAAUUAAUAAUCCAAUGAGUCAUUUUCACUUGUACAACAGUGCUGUUCAGUUAAGGAAUUCACAAAAAAUAAGACACUGUUUUCAACAUAGAUUUUUAAAACUCACUCUUUUGAUCACAAUACUACUGAUAUAUGCCUAGUAUGUAAAAAGUACUAUUGUAUAAAUAAAUAUGUGUAUAAAGGAAAUGUAGAAGGUGCUGUAGAAGUUAUAAUGUGUCACUGUGUAUAAGUGUAUAAAGUAUAUGACAGUAUGCACUGAGUAUAUAAUUUGAUUUCUACUACAUUGAAUGUAACAUUGAGAAACAUUGUUUGUAUAGCAUAUUUUUUAUUAUUCAUUAUAUUGGUGUGGCAACUGAUACAAGUUUAUAAAAAAAUAAAUGUAAGUAUAAUUCUAUAAGUGAUAUUGUAUGUAUAUGAUAUUGUAUGUAUGUUUUGUAUCAAUGAUUUUGUGAAUUUUUAAUUCAUUUUGUAAAAUAUUACAACAAUAAAUGAAUUUCAGUUUGGAAGACACCCCAAGA